rnacentral:piRNA from 1 species
CAGAUGGUGUGGGGCUGAGGGGGACU